CUCGCGUGUCGUGUCAGCAGCCGCGGUAAUACAGAGGAUGCAAGCGUUAUCCGGAAUGAUUGGGCGUAAAGCGUCUGUAGGUGGUUUGUUAAGUCUGAUGUGAAAGCCCUGGGCUCAACCUGGGAACUGCAUUGGAAACUGGCUUACUAGAGUGCGGUAGAGGGUAGUGGAAUUCCCGGUGUAGCAGUGAAAUGCGUAGAUAUCGGGAGGAACAUCUGUGGCGAAGGCGACUACCUGGACCAGCACUGACACUGAGGCACGAAAGCGUGGGGAGCAAACAGGAUUAGAUACCCUGGUAGUCCACGCCCUAAACGAUGCGAACUGGAUGUUGGGAGCAACUUGGCUCUCAGUAUCGAAGCUAACGCGUUAAGUUCGCCGCCUGGGAAGUACGGUCGCAAGACUGAAACUCAAAUGAAUUGACGGG
rnacentral:rRNA from 1 species